AUCUCUUCUUGACCUUUUGGCUAAGAUCAGGUAGAAUAUGUCUUUUUUUUAUCAGUUUAAUAUCUGAUAUGUCUUUUAUCCAAGGAUAACAUAUUAAGUGAAUUUUUGGAGCAGAGAAAUGGACUAGGAUGCUCCAGUCACUUCGUUCAUUGGCCAGGUACUGCAGUACCGCUUGGAAUGUGCACCCCGU
rnacentral:snRNA from 1 species